rnacentral:rRNA from 1 species
UACGUAGGGUGCGAGCGUUAAUCGGAAUUACUGGGCGUAAAGCGUGCGCAGGCGGUUCGUUAAGUCCGGUGGGAAAGCCCCGAGCUUAACUUGGGAAUGGCAUUGGAAACUGGCGGGCUGGAGUGUGGCAGAGGGGGGUGGAAUUCCACGUGUAGCAGUGAAAUGCGUAGAGAUGUGGAGGAACACCGAUGGCGAAGGCAGCCCCCUGGGCCAACACUGACGCUCAGGCACGAAAGCGUGGGGAGCAAACAGG